UUAGGCUCCAAAGUUUGUGUUUAUUAGAAACUCAAGCUCUUUCAGUUUGUCUUUGCUAGAAUAGUUUAUCUGGACAUUUUAUUGCUGUCACAAGCCUUAAUAUAAAAUGUUAUCUUAUAUUUUUAUUUUCAGGAGGUCUCUACUAUAUAUUACUUGUUAAAAUUUUUAGGAAGCUUUAGGUUUGUUUUUCAGUGAUUCACUUAAGCAGGCAAAAAAUCCUACGUAUAAAUGACAUUUUCUGUCAAAUGAAACCUCUAUUUUCCUGUUAGUGUUUGCCUUUCACAUGUAAUACAUAUAUUUUAGCAUAUACAUCACCUCAUGCAAGGAAUAUUAACUUUAUAAUGUAUAAUACUUGAUAUAAGGUUUUGAAAAACACUGUUCCAUAACAUUUAAUAAAUCCAGGUCUUAGACCAAAGUGCAAAAUACACUGACUGACUUACUCAGUGCCUAGGCAAACUUGAAGAAGUUUUGGUACUAUUUUCAAAGUUUAUGCCUUCUCUCAAUGUUGAUAGAUGCUUGUAUUUCCGAGCUUAGCUGCAGAAUAACCUGAAUUUCAUACUACGGUGUCAUCUUUAUGUUGUUUCAACAUGUUAAUGAUGACAGACAUCCUCAUUCCCUAUUGGCAGUUACCCAUUCAAGACGUCUUUUAAUUUUUAUAGAUGUGCGAAUUAGAUGGCAUUAUUAGGAGUGCGGGUUGCUUGUGUUUUUGUAACUAUGUGUUGCCUUUUCAUUAUAAUCACCAUAUUGUGCAAUUCUAGGGAUCCCAAUCUCUAUUUUAGUUUAUGUAAAUGAUUCCUAAGGAGUUUCAUAGUGUAUAGCCUGUGAAGCCAUAUAUUGUGAAGUAUCAUCUUCUCUUUCUUAUUCACCCACAAAUAGUGAGUGAAUUCCACAUAGUAAUCACAGAAACAUAAAACGAAGACUUUGCUUAUUAUGUCCUCUGUUACCAACAUCAUAAAUGUCUUAUAUUUCCACACCUGAAUUUACAUAUAGUAAUGUCUUAUAUACUUCAAUUCCAAACAUUCUUGUAUUAAUUAGGCCUCUUAGUGACAAACACCUGAAACCAACUCUAACAAGUUAAGUAAAAACAAAUUUAGUAAGCGAUACUGAGGGCUCACAGAAGUGAUAAAAGGGUAGAAGAUCAGGAGGAUCUAUGAGAGCGAGGAGUAGGACACACACACAAAAAACACAGCUACUGUCUUUUAGAAGGGCCCACCCAUUUAAUAGAUAUUGCUGGCUUGUCAGUUUUUCUGCCAUCACCACCACAGCUGCUAUUGUAAUAGAUAUGUCAAAGUAUGUAUCCUGACUUUAAUACUUUAUUCAAUAUUUAAAGUCCAGGGAAAGGGUUUUUGAUUGGCUGCAAUUAGAUCAUGUGUCCAACCUCCUGAUCCUCUCAGCCCUAUAGGCGGAGUUAUGAAAUGGAACAGUGGAAGAUGGGCACAGGGAUUUAUCACUGUGCCAAUACUACACAUAAUGAAGAAGUAGUAAAUUCCCAAAAGUAAACUGAAAUGUUAUUAGGAAGGAUGUGGUUUCUGGCAGCCAAAAAUCCCUCAAUUUGAGCAAUGUCUGCUAUAAGCCCUCUUUCAUGUCAAUUAUGGGUUCCACUUGCAUUACCUACUUCUCACCUGUGACACUGCACAUAAUCUUUUCUUAUAUAAACUGGCUUUGCAGUUUUAUGUCCCUGGUACUGUUGGAAUCAAGUACACUAUCUUGGUUACUGGAAAGUAGAUAUUAAUAGAAUAAAAUAUAAGAAAUGUAAGAUUAGCAUCCCACUUCAAUAUUGUUCAUCUUCCUCAUAGAUUAAAAAAAAGACACUAAUGAUUUCACUAUUUCCCAUGCAUGAACCUGAGAACAGAGGAAUGCCAAAUUGCCUAGAAUUCCCUGGCUGCUGCAUUCUUUAAACUGUAUCUACCUAGGGGUCACUUAUAAAAUGAUGUUGCAUUGAAAACAGAUGGAAUUAUCUCAUACUGUAUUGGAAGAACAUUGCAUGCCCUAGUGAUUUAUUUACUCCCUCAUCUCUGUCCUGAUUCCAUUCUUUUCUCAUCUGUACUUGUGUUUCACUACGGCCUUAGCUCUGACUUUAGUAACAUGAUUAAUAACCUAAUUUGGGCUGGGACUGUAUUUCUUCAGUCUGUCUUCUGUUUGCUUCUUAAAACCAUGAACUACAUUGCUCAAUUCCUUGUUUCAUCUAUUCCAGACACUUUGAGUUACAGAAGUUUUAUUUAUGUUCCUGAGAUGGGAUCCACUCUCUGCUGUGCUUCAGGCCAGUCCAGCAUCUUUUCCUCAUGACCAAAACAGUUUGUCAAGAAGUAUUUUUUUCAAUUGCUCACAGAAAAUUGAUUCUCUGUAGCUGGCAUGUUUCUGUUUGUUCUGAUCUUUUGCUUCCCUCUAGCGGCCAAUGUUUGCAUAUGUAUAUGAGGCUAGCAAACUGUGUGUGUGUGUGUGUGUGUGUGUGUGUGUGUGUGUGUGUGUGUGUGUGUGUAUAAAAUUGAUGGAAUUUCUAUGGUUUCCGUCUCAUCACUCCAUUGCUAGCCAUAUAUAUAUGCACACACAUAUAUGUGUAUAUAUGUUUAUAUAUGAUCUAUAUGUGUAUAUAUUUGAUAUAUAUCAUAUAUAUGAUUUAUGUGUCUCAUAUAUCAUAUAUAUGGAUGUAUACAUUGUGAAACCCAAAAAUCUGAGACAGGUCUCAUUUAAAUUAGAAAGUUUAUUUUGCCAAGGUUGAGGACGCGCGCCCGUGACACAGCCUCAGGUGGUCCUAACAACAUGUGCCUUCCCAAGGUGGUAGGAGCACGGUUUGGUUUUAUACAUUCUAGGGAGACAUGAGACAUCAAUCAACAUAUGCAAGAUGAACAUUGGUUCGGUCUGGAAAGACGGGAUAACACGAAGCAAAGGCUGUAUAUGUCAGAGGAUAUCAUAUCUGAUCAAAAGAAAAAAAAGAUCAAGACAAGAUGAAAAGAACCAAAAUAGGAAGACAUCCUAAGGCAUACAGCAGCUGCAGUCUGCCUGCCACUGAAUUUUAUCCAGGGUCUGAGCCUGCUGAAGUCAGUUGGUGAAGCAAGAGAAGACAGGCAGAAUAAGAUGGCAGAGAAAGACUCUCCAGCGACCAUCCCUCAAUAGAAACAUCAAUUUGAACAACUAUCCACACAUGAAACAAAUCUUCGUAAGACUCAGGAAACCAGGUGCAGGACAAAGGACAGACAGAACUCAGUCAACCCUCUGCUCACCUGAGAAAAAGUGCAUAUCUAAUUGCUUCUUUGGCCCUAUUGUUUAUGCAAGAAUGCUGAUUCAUUUGUCUAUUUUGGCUUUUGUUGCCAUUGCUUUUGGUGUUUUAGUCAUGAAGUUGUUGCCCAUGCCUAUGUCCUGAAUGAUAUUGCCUAGGUUUUCUUCUAGGGUUUUUAUGGUUUUAGGUCUUACAUUUAAGUCUUUAAUCCAUCUAGAGUUAAUUUUUGUAUACGGUGUAAGGAAGGGAUCCAGUUUCAGCUUUCUGUAUAGGGCUAGCCAGAUUUCCCAACACCAUUUAUUAAAUAGGGAAUCCAUUGGGAUCUAAUUAAACUAAACAGCUUCUGCACAGCAGAGGAAACUAUCACCAGAAUGAACAGGCAACCUACAGAAUGGGAGAAAAUUGUUGCAAUAUAUCCAUCUGACAAAGAGCUAAUAUCCAGAAUCUACAAAGAACUUAAACAAACUUACAAGAAAAAAACAACCCCAUCAAAAAGUGGGCAAAGGAUAUGAACAGACACUUCUCAAAAUAAAACAUUUAUGCAGCCAACAAACAUAUGAAAAAAAGCUCAUCAUCACUGGUCAUUAGAGAAAUGCAAAUCAAAACCACAAUGAGAUACCAUCUUACACCAGUUAGAAUGGUGAUCAUUAAAAAGUCAGGAAACAACAGAUGCUGGUGAGGAUGUGGAGGGAUAAGAACGCUUUUACACUGUUACUGGGAGUGUAAAUUAGUUCAACCAUUGUGGAAGACAGUGUGGCAAUUUCUCAAGGAUCUAGAACUAGAAAUACCAUUUGACCCAGCAAUCCUAUUUCUGGGUAUAUACCCAAAGGAUUAUAAAUCAUUCUACUAUAAAGACACAUGCACACGUAUGUUUAUUGUGGCACUGUUCACAGUAGCAAAGACUUGGAACCAACUCAAAUUCUCAUCAAUGAUAGACUGGAUAAAGAAAAUGUGGCACAGAUAUGCCAUGGAAUACUAUGCAGCCAUAAAAAGGAUGAGUUCAUGUCCUGUGCAGGGACAUGGGUGAAGCUGGAAACCAUCAUCCUCAGCAAAGUAACACAAGAACAGAAAACCAAACACUGCAUGUUCUCACUCAUAAGUGGGAGUUGAACAAUGAGAACACAUGGACACAGGGAGGGGAACAUCCCACCAGAGCCUAGUGGAGGGUGGGGGCUAGGGGAGGGAUAGUAUUGGGAAAAAUACCUAAUGUAGAUGAUGGUUUGAUGGUUGCAGCAAAUCACCAUGGCAUGUGUAUACCUAGGUAACAAAUCUGCACAUUCGGCACAUGUACCCCAGCACUUAAAGUAUAAUAAAAAAAAGCCAAAAAGAAAUGCAGAUUCACUAGGCCUGUCCAAAGCAUAAGUCACUUUCCUCUAUGCCACCUCAUAUGUAAAUUUUGUAUUUAAUGAAAGGCUAAUCACAGUAUUCAGUGAAAAGCUAAUGAGAGACUCAAAAGAAUACAACCAUUUAUCUCUUUUUUUUUUUUUUUGAGACGGAGUCUCGCUCUGUUGCCCAGGCUGGAGUGCAGUGGCGCGAUAUCGGCUCACUGCAAGCUCCGCCUCCCGGGUUCACGCCAUUCUCCUGCCUCAGCCUCCCGAGUAGCUGGGACUACAGGCGCCCGCCACCACGCCCGGCUAAUUUUUUGUAUUUUUAGUACAGACGGGGUUUCACCAUGCUAGCCAGGAUGGUCUCGAUCUCCUGACCUCGUGAUCCGCCCGCCUCGGCCUUACAACCAUUUAUCUCUUAUCCAACUUUCAGUUGCACUGCCUUUCAGGACAGAACAAACGUACAGCUUAUACAUAUUGAUUGAUGUCUCAUGUCUCCCUAAAAUGUAUAAAAUCAAACUAUGCUCUGACCACCUUAGGCAUGUGUCUUCAAGAUCUCCUGAGGCUGUGUCACAGGUACAUCCUUAACUUUGGAAAAAUAAACUUUCUAAACUGAUUGAGACCUGUCUCAGAUAGUUUUGAGUUUACAAAUCCAUUACCAUAAAGGAAUUCUGAGGGGAGGUUCCCUUGAUCUUUCACAAAUCUCCUAUUUGAGCUUGGUACCCGUUUUAGUUAUCCUUAUGACUCAAACCAGUAGGACAAUUUGCUGAGCCCUGGGAGCUCCCGACUUCUAGAGAAUCCCUAAUCUCUCAAAAUUUGGUUGAGAUGUAAAGUUUAUUUUGCUUUACAACUACUUUUUUAGAGUUUUAAUUCCUUCCAACAAGGAAGGCAAGUUUUCCCGCUUCCAUGAUAAUGUAGAGCAGGUAACUUCUUUCUGGAGUUUCAGUUAGUUUCCAACAGGAAAGGCAAGUUUGAAGCUUUUGUUCCCUGCUUCUAAGAUGAUAGAGAGAAGUCUUGAGCCAAGGCCUCAUUCCUAAGAGAGGUGAAGCCCACUGGGCUUCUGGGUCGGGUGGGGACUUGGAGAACUUUUCUGUCUAGCUAAAGGAUUGUAAACACACCAAUCAGCACUCUGUGUCUAGCUAAAGGUUUGUAAAUGCACCAAUCAGCACUCUGUGUCUAGCUAAAGAUUUGUAAAUGCACCAAUCAGCACUCUGUAAAAAUGCACCAAUCAGAGCUCUGUGUCUAGCUAAAGGUUUGUAAAUGCACCAAUCAACACUCUGUAAAAUGGACCAAUCAGCACUCCAUAAGAUGGACCAAUCAGCAGGACAUGGGCAGGGCCAAAUAAGGGAAUAAAAGUUGGCCACCCAAGCCAGCAGUGGCAACCCGCUGGGGUCCCCUUCCAUGCCGUGGAAGCUUUGUUCUCUCGCUCUUCACAAUAAAUCUUGCUACUGCUCACUCUUUGGGUCCACACUACCUUUAUGAGCUGUAACACUCACUGCGAAGGUCUGCAGCUUCACUCCUGAAGUCAGUGACACCACGCACCCACUGGGAGGAACAAACAACUCCCAACGCACCAACUUUAAGAGCUGUAACACUCACUGUGAAGGUCUGCGGCUUCACCCCUGAAGUCAGCGAGACCACGAACCCACAAGGAGGAACAAACAACUCUGGACGCGCCACCUUUAAGAGCUGUAACACUCACUGAGAAAGUCUGGGGCUUCACUCCUGAAGUCAAGUGAGACCACAAACCCACUGGAAGGAAGAAGCUCCAGACACAUCUGAACAUCUGAAGGAACAAACUCUGGACACACUAUCUUUAAGAACUGUAACACUAACCACAAGGGUCCGUGGCUUCAUUCUUGAAGUCAGCAAGACCAAGAAUCCACCAGAAGGAACCAAUUCUGGACACACUAGCUAUGUAGCUAAAUUUGGGUUUUUGUCUUGGAAAUUCUUCUUAAAUAUUAAAAGUUAAAAUUGACAAUGA